rnacentral:rRNA from 1 species
CAAGGGGGCUCUUGGGUUGUAAACCUCUUUUCUCAGGGAAUAAGCAAUGAAGGUACCUGAGGAAUCAGCAUCGGCUAACUCCGUGCCAGCAGCCGCGGUAAUACGGAGGAUGCAAGCGUUAUCCGGAAUCAUUGGGCGUAAAGCGUCCGCAGGUGGUAGUUCAAGUCUACUGUCAAAGGCUGUGGCUUAACUACUGACAGGCAGUGGAAACUGAACAGCUAGAGUGCGGUAGGGGUAGAGGGAAUUCCCGGUGUAGCGGUGAAAUGCGUAGAGAUCGGGAAGAACACCAGUGGCGAAAGCGCUCUGCUGGACCUGCACUGACACUGAGGGACGAAAGCUAGGGGAGCGAAUGGGAUUAGAUACCCCAGUAGUCCUAGCCGUAAACGAUGGAUACUAGGUGUGGCGAGUAUCGACCCUCGCAGUGUCGUAGCUAACGCGUUAAGUAUCCCGCCUGGGGAGUACGCACGCAAGUGUGAAACUCAAAGGAAUUGACGGGGGCCCGCACAAGCGGUGGAGUAUGUGGUUUAAUUCGAUGCAACGCGAAGAACCUUACCAGGGCUUGACAUGUCGCGAAUCUUUUUGAAAGAAAAGAGUGCCUUCGGGAGCCCGAACACAGGUGGUGCAUGGCUGUCGUCAGCUCGUGUCGUGAGAUGUUGGGUUAAGUCCCGCAACGAGCGCAACCCUCGUUUUUAGUUGCCAGUAUUAAGUUAGGCACUCUAAAGAGACUGCCGGUGACAAACCGGAGGAAGGUGGGGAUGACGUCAAGUCAGCAUGCCCCUUACGCCCUGGGCGACACACGUACUACAAUGCUACGGACAAAGGGCAGCCAAGUCGCGAGGCCGAGCCAAUCCCGUAAACCGUGGCACAGUUCAGAUUGCAGGCUGCAACUNGCCUGCAUGAAGGCGGAAUCGCUAGUAAUCGCAGGUCAGCAUACUGCGGUGAAAACGUUCCCGGGCCUUGUACACACCGCCCGUCACACCAUGGAAGUUGGCCAUGCCCGAAGGGGUUAAAACAACC